UACAGAGGGGGCAAGCGUUAUUCGGAAUUAUUGGGCGUAAAGGGCGCGUAGGCGGCUUGGCAAGUGGAUGGUGAAAUCCCUCGGCUUAACCGAGGAACUGCCGUCCAAACUGCUUUGCUUGAGGCCGGGAGAGGUGAGUGGAAUUCCCAGUGUAGCGGUGAAAUGCGUAGAUAUUGGGAGGAACACCAGUGGCGAAGGCGGCUCACUGGACCGGUACUGACGCUGAUGCGCGAAAGCCAGGGGAGCAAACGGG
rnacentral:rRNA from 1 species